UACGUAGGGGGCUAGCGUUGUCCGGAUUUAUUGGGCGUAAAGAGCGUGUAGGCGGCCAGGUAGGUCUGGUGUGAAAACUCGAGGCUUAACCUCGAGAUGUCAUCGGAAACCAUCUGGCUAGAGUCCGGAAGAGGAGAGUGGAAUUCCUGGUGUAGCGGUGAAAUGCGCAGAUAUCAGGAGGAACACCAACGGCGAAGGCAGCUCGCUGGGACGGUACUGACACUGAGGCGCGAAAGCGUGGGGAGCGAACAGG
rnacentral:rRNA from 1 species